rnacentral:lncRNA from 1 species
AUGUUUAUUCGCCUUUCUCUUAGGCAGAGCUGGUGCACACUCGGGGCUCUGCAUUUUGCGGAAUCACGCUGUGUCUUCGCAUGCAAUCUCUCUCUGAAUGUGCAAUGUCUUUCCUGCUCGGGAGUGCUGCGUCCUUCACAGUGGAUUGGUUCCUCUUUCGGAGCAGAGGAGACUCCAUGGCUCUUAUUGUGGAUGUACCUAAUUUACUACAGUUCCAAGAAGUUCAUAAAGACAAAACUUACAAGAGGAAAUUGUUACAGAUGUUGUGUUUUGAGGAUGGCUGAUCCUGUGCUUGGAAGCCAGCCAGAGAUCAUGAGGAUUGCGACUCUUCUUGAGCUUAUUACAAUGACAUUAUGA